rnacentral:sRNA from 1 species
UGCUUUUUAACUCUAUCUGCGAGUCUACGACCCAUUGGGUCCCAAAUGGCCCGCGCACUGCAGCCAGCAGGGCACGUCAAGCUUGUCAAGCAAGACCCAACCAAGCCCACCCACGGAGGGGCCACGACUUCAGCUACCUCUAACUGUGCAGUGACGCAGCAGGUCGUUCCACAGCUCCGCAAGGAGUAUAUAUACUUUCUUACAUGAACCGACGUACUAACCAGGUAAGUUAAAGCAGAGAAGGGAAAAACGACGAACGAGGGAAAAGGAAAACUACCCAGUAGUGCGCGAACGACUGCAGUACAUUGCGUCCGUCCAUCCUUCAAAAGAAUUUUUUUUUUGUUUCAAUUGACAAUACUCCCUUCGUUUUCUUUUUCUUCACACACAAGUUCAAAUUCAAAAAAGUUUCAACAACCGAGGACCCCAAGCUUAUCUCCCCAAUCGUUUCACUAUCGUCAAUCAUCCACAACCCAGGAGGAGGGGAGUGGGGAUGUCGAUGUCUGUCUUGUGUUUGGGUGAGAGAAGUCUCGUCCCUCUCCUCUCCCCCCAUCGCGGCUAGGCUAGUUGAAACCUGGGCGUCAGCACCACAAGCACCGCAGACACAGGAAGCAACCUCCACCCCCUCCCAAAGGUCUCAGCCCCAGGUACCAUCGGGCCAUUUUUGACCACCAUGGAUGAACUUCCCCCAAUACAGUAGCUACAUAGUUGGUUGGCACGAUUUCAACGCUGCGGAAUUCAAGGGAAAAUCAGGAGGAGUGGGAUAGUUGCUGGAGGAAAUUGAAGUGGCAGGGCAAAAAAAACCAGGGCGUUUUUCUUUUUUGUUUUUGUUUUUGUUUUUGUUUCCUUUCUCCGUUGUCGAUCAGGGGGAUCUGUGGAAAAGGACAGUCUACGUCUAACUUCUGUCUCCCCCACACCAUUUUCUGUCUUCUGCAGAAAGGAUCAGGGAGGAAGACGAGUUAUUGGUUUAGUUAUUUGGUUUACUGAUUUAUGGAUUCGUUUUGUCACAAGAUUUCUUGCCGUCCCUAAGCGGGAGCGGAAAGGGUUUUUUUGGGAAGGUAGAUCGGGAU